AGGUCUGCAAGGUGUUGCGAAAACCCUUUCUUGAUGUGAACAAUAUGGUCUGGUAUUAUUGUUAGUUGUCAAUCGAUCCAUGAUUCAAUCUCGUUUGCAAAUUCAAGUGUUUCAUUUGAAGGAUGACGCAAAUCACACGCAAGGAACAUGUUAAUAUGCAUACUAUUGUUCUUCCCGAGUCAUUUGUGCAACAUAUAUAUUUCAACAUAGCAAUUGAAAACUGACUGGUGUGCAGGUUGGUUUUUGUGUGUUCUAAGUUCUACAACUACUAAGGGCUAUUGGUUCUGGAAAUUAUUCACAAGCAUGCGGGCUCUGACCUACUUUUGUCCAAAUAUCUUUCUUUGUAGUGAGUUGUGCUGAUUCACAUUAAGGUGCAUCGAAACUACCCGAAAUCAUUUUAUUUUGUCUUCCCAUCGGUUACUUUUAAGAGUUGGGUAUCCUGAAGUUUUUCCAAGAUGUGCACCCUAUUCCUCUGUUUUCACACUACUAUUUUUCCGUUCUUUAGUUUUAGUGUAUAUGACGCAUUUCUUUUGUCGAAGUUAACUCUUCAUUCUUCUCAUAUGCUCUUCCAGAUUGGUUACCUUUUAGACACUCAAGUAAAUGUUUCACAUUUUCUUUGAAGUUUAUUUUCUUGGAGAAUCAUAUAUCUAUGUCAGAUCAUGCUGUUUAGUUGUGUAUGCUCUCUUUUUUUUACUGAAUUUUAUAAAUGUUUGUUGCUUGGAGAAUCACAUUUCUUUUAACUGUUAAUUCACGAGGACUGUAUUUAUAACUCUCAUUUAUUUUGAAAGCGAGUAUUAGCUUUGAAUAGUCAUUAUCUUUGACCAUUUUAUAGCGAGUCGAUAGAAUAAUUUCUCAUAUCAAUGUCCAGUCCCUUGCUCCUCGAAGAAUAUCUGAUUCAUUAUUCCUUCUUGUGAAUUCUUUAUUUCAGGUCCUGAAGAGGAUGUUUCUGCACCUCUAUUAUGCUUCCAGAAAAAGGCGCACCUAUGGAUUUUCAAGAAUGGGCACAUUCGCUCUCUGGUCUUCCGAUGCAACACUGUAUGUGUUGUCGAAUUUUGGCUUUUGGCUGCUCGUGUAGUGUCGUACUAAAUAAAUAGACCAGUCAGAUGCAUUGUAGCCAUUUGUGCUUUGGCUCAAUAAAUGAAGAAACCUAUAGGAACAUAUAUUGUGUUCUUUGUGUUCCACCUUGUAAGACUGCCACCUCUCUGUUAAUAUAGACCUAUGACCUUGCUUUGCUUGGCUUGCUUUAUGAGUGAAUGCUCUGCUGCUGCAGUUUAUAUCUAUUCUUUUUUCAACAACUGGUGUUUAUUUGGAUUGCAUACAUGUUCAAGUGCAUCAGCAGGAUUAGCGCGCAGAGUACCGCAG
rnacentral:lncRNA from 1 species